rnacentral:lncRNA from 1 species
CAUUAUAGUGAUUUCCUGAAGAAAAAAAAAAAAAAAGAAGAAAAAAAAUCAGAGUGGCUUUUCCCUUGAUUAGUACGUGUCGUCGUGACUUCGUUGGUGUUCUAGGCUCGCGUCUCUAGUACGAUCUAGCCUAGGACCAGCACGGUACCGUCGUUGAGCGUCUUUUCAAUUUUGCAUCUCUGAACUGAUUAUAGCUGACCCUUCUUGCUACCAUCUUAUAAGCCUUCCCAGCUCCACAUACAUCUACAUCGUGUGUUUGACACCACCUGGCAAUCGCUAUAUCCAACCUUCGAGAGUUUUGACUACACCGGUUGCCGAUCGCCACCUGCUGCUGGGUAAGAAUUUGUAAGAAACUGAGAUUUGCUUGACAGAUUUGUGACACACCACCACCACUUCCUAGUAGUCUGUAGGAUCAUAUUUUGCUGUGUUCCUCUUGCUGCUAACCAUGCCAGGAUCACACGACGAGGAGAUCGACUGGGAGAACCUGACCAACCAGGAGCUUUAUGAUAAAUUUCAGCAAAUGAUGUC